UACAAAAGAUCACUGGAACUUCCACACUGACAUACAAAGCAUGUGGCGUCUGGAAGUAUAUACAUAUGUACAAAAAGUAUGACAAAAACAAAUGGCAGUAGAUACAAAGUGAGAAUGGAUAAUAUUAGCCCACAUUGACAUACAUAUGUAAAAAAGUAUGACAAAAACAAAUGGCAGUAGAUACAAAGUGAAAAUGGAUAAUAUUAGCCCACAUUGACAUAAUGAUCGCUACUAAUUAUCACUAGUGAGUUCGAGCUUCAUUUAGUAGUCGCCUCUAGAAUAACAAAAUCCACAAAGCAACGGCAACUUAACUAAAAACACCUAUCAAAGCAGCAGAAAUAUUUUCUGUAUGUGAACAAAAAGGAAUAUG
rnacentral:lncRNA from 1 species